AACUUUCCAAUUUUCCAUGGAAGACGCCAUUUAAUCUAAAUUCAUAUGUUUGAGCUGACAGUUCUUGAAUCUAUUACAGACUACACUGCUACUAAUGCUGAUUUUUUUUAUUUUAUUUGUAACAAUCGAAUUGUUCAAGAACUAAAACCGAUAAAGAACAGGCAAUCAACGGCACGACAUCGACAAGACUUUCAAGAGACUUUGAUUGUUCGACGCCAGUUAAAUUUCAUUAAGAGAAGAACAAAGAGUUUUUUCCAUCUUAGAAAUAUUUUUGCCGAAAACUUCCUGAAGACAUCAAGGUUAACCAUGGGAAAUUCUUCUCGUC
rnacentral:lncRNA from 1 species